GGGAGCCGCAUGAGCUAAGAGGUUCACGUACGGUUCUGAGAGAGACUUGAGGGGAGGUUUCUCAGAUCUACUCACGGC
rnacentral:ncRNA from 1 species